rnacentral:rRNA from 1 species
AAGUCGUAACAAGGUUUCCGUAGGUGAACCUGCGGAAGGAUCAUUAUUGAAUAUGGGUUGUUGCUGGCCUUUGAGGCAUGUGCACACCUUUUAUUAUUUCUCCAACCUGUGCAUCAUAUUGGGACUGCUGUGCUUUUGUUUAGUUCAGCUUUCCCUUUUUAUUAUCACAAUCACAUUAAAAAUGUUGAAUGUAUGAAAAAAAUAAAAAUAUAUACAACUUUCAGCAACGGAUCUCUUGGCUCUCGCAUCGAUGAAGAACGCAGCGAAAUGCGAUAAGUAAUGUGAAUUGCAGAAUUCAGUGAAUCAUCGAAUCUUUGAACGCAUCUUGCGCUCCUUGGUAUUCCGAGGAGCAUGCCUGUUUGAGUGUCAUUAAAUUCUCAAACCACAACUUUUGUUGUGGCUUGAAUAGUUGGGUGUUGCCAGCUUUAUUUAUAUAAGUAGGCUCACCUCAAAUACAUAAGUGGUGCAUUUAGAAACUUGUUAGGUGUUGUAAAUUAUCAAUACAUCUAUGUUUCUCCGAAUAUACUGCUUUCUAACAAACUCAUUUGAUGAUUUUGACCUCAAAUCAGGUAGGACUACCCGCUGAACUUAAGCAUAUCAAUAAGCGGAGGAAAAGAAACUAACAAGGAUUCCCUCAGUAACUGCGAGUGAAGUGGGAAAAGCUCAAAUUUGAAAUCUGGCAGCUCUUUCAGGUUGUCCGAGUUGUAAUCUAGAGAAGUGUUACCUGUGUUGGACCGUGUAAAAGUCUUCUGGAAUGGAGCAUCAUAGAGGGUGAGAAUCCCGUCUUUGACAUGGACUACCAGCAUGCCAAGGUGCACUCUCAAAGAGUCGAGUUGUUUGGGAAUGCAGCUCAAAAUGGGUGGUAAAUGCCAUCUAAAGCUAAAUAUUGGCGAGAGACCGAUAGCGAACAAGUACCGUGAGGGAAAGAUGAAAAGAACUUUGGAAAGAGAGUUAAACAGUACGUGAAAUUGCUGAAAGGGAAACGCUUAAAGUCAGUCGCAUUGGCUAGAAAUCAGGCUUGCUUUUGCAAGGUGCACUUUCUAGUUGAUGGGUCAGCAUCAAUUUUGAUCGUUGGAUAAAGUCAUUGGGAAUGUGGCAUCUUUGGAUGUGUUAUAGCCCAGUGUUGGAUACAGCAGUCAGGAUUGAGGAAUUCAGCAUGCCUCUAGGGGCCAGGUUUC